CUGCAGCCAAUUAAGCGGACCGUGCUGCCCUCCCUAUGGCGCCCGGUGUGUAGUGGCUGCAAACAGCAGCCUCCUGGGUAGUGUAUGCAGCCUGUUGCUUGUAUAGGCUACUCAAGGGACCCCGGAGACAGCC
ensembl:snoRNA SNORA70 Small nucleolar RNA SNORA70